rnacentral:rRNA from 1 species
GAUGAACGCUAGCGGCAGGCCUAAUACAUGCAAGUCGAGCGGCAAGUUGAGAAGCAAUUCGAGACCUAGAGCGGCGUACGGGUGCGUAACGCGUAUGCAACCUACCUCAUACAGGGGGAUAGCCCGGAGAAAUCUGGAUUAAUACCCCAUAGUACAUAUAGAGGGCAUCUGAAAUAUGUUAAAGAUUCAUCGGUAUGAGAUGGGCAUGCGUCUGAUUAGCUAGUUGGCGGUGUAACGGACCACCAAGGCGACGAUCAGUAGGGGUUCUGAGAGGAAGGUCCCCCACACUGGCACUGAGAUACGGGCCAGACUCCUACGGGAGGCAGCAGUAGGGAAUAUUGGGCAAUGGUCGGAAGACUGACCCAGCCAUGCCGCGUGCAGGAAGAAGGCCCUCUGGGUUGUAAACUGCUUUUAUCUGGGAAGAAAAGGCCCGUGCGCGGGACAUUGCCGGUACCAGAUGAAUAAGCACCGGCUAACUCCGUGCCAGCAGCCGCAGUAA